UACGAAGGGGGCUAGCGUUGUUCGGAUUUACUGGGCGUAAAGCGCACGUAGGCGGAUCGUUAAGUCGGGGGUGAAAUCCUGGAGCUCAACUCCAGAACUGCCUUCGAUACUGGCGAUCUUGAGUCCGGAAGAGGUGAGUGGAACUCCUAGUGUAGAGGUGGAAUUCGUAGAUAUUGGGAAGAACACCGGUGGCGAAGGCGGCGACCUGGUCCUUGACUGACGCUGAGGCGCGAAAGCGUGGGGAGCAAACAGG
rnacentral:rRNA from 1 species